rnacentral:rRNA from 1 species
UACGAAGGGGGCUAGCGUUGCUCGGAAUGACUGGGCGUAAAGGGCGCGUAGGCGGUUGAUGCAGUCAGAUGUGAAAUCCCCGGGCUUAACCUGGGAACUGCAUUUGAUACGCAUUGACUAGAGUUCGAGAGAGGGUUGUGGAAUUCCCAGUGUAGAGGUGAAAUUCGUAGAUAUUGGGAAGAACACCGGUGGCGAAGGCGGCAACCUGGCUCGAUACUGACGCUGAGGCGCGAAAGCGUGGGGAGCAAAC